rnacentral:snRNA from 1 species
CCCUCUUCGCACAUCCACAGUGAUCAUGUGUAGUAUCUGUUCUUCAUAGUUUGAUGACUAUGACCAAGGGCUCGCGCCCUUCGUUUCAUCAACCACUUUUUAUCUACCGGGUCGUUUGAUACGAGCUUGCUCGUAUCGACGACCGAGCGUGUCCUCGUCAUUACACCAUCGACGAGAGACGCGCGCGGGCC